UACGGAGGGGGCUAGCGUUGUUCGGAAUUACUGGGCGUAAAGAGCGCGUAGGCGGCCCGUCAAGUCUGGUGUGAAAUCCCCCGGCUCAACCGGGGGGUGCGCCGGGGACUGGGGGGCUUGGAGCGCGGGAGAGGGAGGCGGAAUUCCGGGUGUAGCGGUGAAAUGCGUAGAGAUCCGGAGGAACACCGGCGGUGCAGACGGCCUCCUGGACCGCGGCUGACGCUGAGGCGCGAAAGCGUGGGGAGCAAACAGG
rnacentral:rRNA from 1 species